AAGUCGUAACAAGGUUUCCGUAGGUGAACCUGCGGAAGGAUCAUUAACAAAUAUAUCCAUUCUUUUUAUGGGUGUUAAAAAUCCAUAUCAACCCCUUGUGAAUUGUUAUUGUUUUGGCAGUUAUUUUUUAUUGAAAAUAUUUCAUUAAAAAAGCUGUCAAAUGGGUUACGGUUUUUUUAAACUUUUGUAAUCCAAUUUUUUUUUUUAAUAAAAACUCUGCUAAUAAAAUAAUCUUUCUGGUUUAAUUAUAUUAUAAUUUAAUUAUUAUAAAAUACAACUUUUGACAACGGAUCUCUUGGUUCUC
rnacentral:misc_RNA from 1 species